rnacentral:rRNA from 1 species
UCUUCCCUCUGUCGGCGUGCCUAAUACAUGCAAGUCGAGCGAACAGAUGAGGAGCUUGCUCCUCUGAUGUUAGCGGCGGACGGGCGAGUAACACGUGGAUAACCUACCUAUAAGAAUGGGAUAACUUCGGGAAACCUGAGCUAAUACCGGAAAAUAUAUUGAACCUCAUGGUUCAAAAGUGAAAGACGGUAUUGCUGUCACUUAUAGAUUGAUCCGCGCUGCAUUAGCUAGUUGGUAAGGUAACGGCUUACCAAGGCAACGAUGCGUAGCCGACCUGAGAGGGUGAUCGGCUACACUGUCAGUGAGACACGGUCCAGACUCCUACGGGAGGACGCAGUAGGGAAUCUUACGCGAUGCGCGAAAGCCUAACGGAGCACCGCCGCGUGAGUGAUGAAGCUCUUAUGCUCGUAAAACUAUGUUAUUAGGGAAGAUCAAAUGUGUAAGUACCUGUGAACAUCUUGACGGUACCUAAUCAGAAAGCCACGGCUAACUACGUG